UGUUCAGUCUCAUUCAUCGUUGGAGUUUUCGAGAGAACAAUGUCCAGUUUGGUCAAUCAUGGAGACCACGAGUUGCAGGGAUUCACAAUGCAGAUGGCCCAAUGCAAGUCCAACAAGGGAUGCAUGCAGUCUGGGUUAAUUGAAAGGUUGCUCUGGAAGCAUAGACUCGGUGGAUGAUGGUGGAUGAUGCUGUCGCUGUUGCUACAUGAAAGAUGGGGUUUGCUGAAAGCAAUCAAACCUGAUGUGACGAAUUAUGGCUGUGGAGAAACUGGAGGCGUUUGGCCAGUUUGCUUCUGGUACAGUCUGUAAUGACCAGGGCAAAUGGUGAUUUUACGUCUUCCUUGAUCCAAGGAAGGGAGUUCUGGACCCCAUGAUGUCUAGCGUUUACUCUGCCAUGUGACUGAUCGAAUGUGCCACAUGGAGUUGCGUGCAUCCUGUCCCUGUUGCAGGUGGUGCUGACAUGACGUCUUUGGAGAACCUUAAGGAUUCCUGACUUCUGUGGCUUUAGGAUCCAACUGGUUGAUUUGAGGCCAUUUCUCUAAAGUUCCUCCAAGGCUUUCUCUCCUGAUUUUGACCAUUAAGCUUGAAUUACUAUGUUUGCAUCUGGUUCCAUUUAGUCUUGACGCAAGUUCCAUUCUACUUGUAAUUUGUCUAACUGCAUAUGGCUAUGACAAUUAAUGUGGUAUAAGAUUGUCCUUAAAGCUUGACACAUGAGAAUUUCAUUAUUGAACUUGAAGCAAUUUUGUUUCAAAAGGAAACAUUAAGUACUCUGGGCGUAUUUCAUGCUAUAAGAUUGUAACAUAUCAAACCAGGUUAUUCCUUAAAAUCAGGAAUAACUUGUAUUCAUGCAAAUAAUUAAAUUGUUCAUCUGCAAAAUAAAAUCAUUUUUUAAACAAGGAA